GUCAGGAUGGCCGAGCAGUCUAAGGCACUGCGUUCAGGUCGCAGUCUCCCCUGGAGGCGUGGGUUUGAAUCCCACUUCUGACA
rnacentral:tRNA from 2 species